GGCGAUUUUACGUCGUUAAAGUACCUAACGCACUAACGACGAAUUUUAAACGACACGUGACAAAUGGUUUUUUGAGCCGGGAGAAACGAGACGUAUUUUCGCAACUAAUUCCGUCAUACUCGUAAUAAUCAGUUUUGGGAAAGAUAACCGAUAUCUUUUUCUUCAGACAAAAGAUCAUUUUCGGUAAUUUAGAUGACUGCAUAGUAAUAAUA